AGUUUUGAACUCAAGUGGCGGACGGGUGAGUAACACGUAAGAAUUUACCUUUAGGAGGGGGACAACAACUGGAAACGGUUGCUAAUACCCCAUAUGCUUUCGAGUGAAACGGAUUUCCGCCUAAAGAGAAGCUUGCGGCUGAUUAGCUUGUUGGUAAGGUAAUGGCUUACCAAGGCGACGAUCAGUAUCUGGUUUGAGAGGACGACCAGACACACUGGAACUGGGACACGGUCCAG
rnacentral:rRNA from 1 species